rnacentral:rRNA from 1 species
UACGUAGGGGGCAAGCGUUAUCCGGAUUUACUGGGUGUAAAGGGUGCGUAGACGGUGUGGUAAGUCUGAAGUGAAAGGCGUGAGCUCAACUCAUGGACUGCUUUGGAAACUAUCAUACUUGAGUGCAGGAGGGGUAAGCGGAAUUCCCAGUGUAGCGGUGAAAUGCUUAGAUAUUGGGAGGAACACCGGCGGCGAAGGCGGCUUACUGGACUGCAACUGACGUUGAGGCACGAAAGCGUGGGGAG